rnacentral:rRNA from 1 species
AGAGUUUGAUCCUGGCUCAGAACGAACGCUGGCGGCAGGCCUAACACAUGCAAGUCGAGCGGGGGAGCAAUCCCUAGCGGCGGACGGGUUAGUAACGCGUGGGAACAUACCCUUUGGUACGGAAUAGCCUCGGGAAACUGAGAGUAAUACCGUAUGUGCCCCUUCGGGGGAAAGAUUUAUCGCCAAAGGAUUGGCCCGCGUUGGAUUAGGUAGUUGGUGGGGUAAUGGCCUACCAAGCCGACGAUCCAUAGCUGGUUUGAGAGGAUGAUCAGCAACACUGGGACUGAGACACGGCCCAGACUCCUACGGGAGGCAGCAGUGGGAAUCUUAGACAAUGGGCGAAAGCCUGAUCUAGCCAUGCCGCGUGGACGAUGAAGGCCUUAGGGUUGUAAAGUCCUUUCAGAUGGGAAGAUAAUGACGGUACCAUCAGAAGAAGCCCCGGCUAACUCCGUG